rnacentral:lncRNA from 1 species
AACCAGUGCCUUGUUGUUUCCCAAUUCUGCUUUUCUGAAAGAGUACUCUCCUGUGCUGAUGCCUUUCCUUUUAUGGGCCUGGAUUCAUUUGAGAUGCCAAGAGGAGGAGUGUGGCUGUUUGUUUGAGGCUGACCUUUGCAGACCAUUUGAAAUCUGUAUAAAUGACUCUCUUCUGUUAAAUAAACCUUUGCUGGAACCAGCUAAAUACUGGACUGAUGUACGUACUGCCCUCUGGUGGUUUGCUGACUGCAGAGAACACCUGCUCACUAAAUUUAGAGAGAAAGCUGAAUAUAGUCUCUGGAAAUCUAAUUUGGCAAGGGGAGAAGACAAGAAGCUGAUGUGGUACUGCUUUUUCCAGUCAUUUUCGCAUUUAUUAUUUGUGUGUUCUGGAUUUUUUAAUAUGAUUCAAACUAUACUGGCAACAGGGUAUAAUAGGAAGAGCCCUAGAUUUAAAAUAAAAGGACCACAUAUUAGAAUUGUGAUCUUAGGCAAGUCAUUUAAUUUCUUUAGGAUUGAAUUUCCUUAUCUGUUAAAUAAGAGAGUUGGAUUGUAA